GCCUGGGUGGCUCAGUAGGGUAAGUGUCUGGCUUUGGCUCAGAUCAUGAUCUCACAGUUUGUGGGUUCGAGUCCCAUGUUGGGCU
rnacentral:tRNA from 1 species